UACGUAGGGGGCAAGCGUUGUCCGGAUUCAUUGGGCGUAAAGGGCGCGCAGGCGGCCCGGAAAGUCGGAUGUGAAAACUCGAGGCUCAACCUCGAGCGUGCACCCGAUACUGCCGGGCUUGAGGCAGGUAGGGGAGAUCGGAGUUCCUGGUGUAGCGGUGAAAUGCGCAGAUAUCAGGAGGAACACCGGUGGCGAAGGCGGAUCUCUGGGCCUGUCCUGACGCUGAGGCGCGAAAGCUAGGGGAGCGAACAGG
rnacentral:rRNA from 1 species